UGACAUGGCCAAAAGAGGUAAAGAUGGACAGGACCCUGAAAGGAAGCGAAAGAAGUGCGAGCUUUGCUAGAGCUGUGCUUUAUUCCUCAGAGAGGACUAGCUCAGGGUGCCAGGUUAGGCUGGCAAAUUCAAAGGCAGACGUUUCUGCCCACACAGCAGCCUCCAGGCCGGAAGUCGGGGGUGGAUCCAGAUGGGAAUCAUAUGUUUGUGCCAUGUGUGUUUUCACUGGAGGGGAAAAGAAUCUCAUGGCUGGCAACUUUCUUAGGGCUCUGUGCAGAACUCAGUGUAAGGAGCAAAGGAGCUGCUUGGAAGAUUCUAUGCACUGAAUUUUAGGAAGUCUUAAGAGGAGCAGAGCUUGGGCAAAACCUAUGUUGUCAUUUCUUUGGAUUUGAGACUACAGACCCUAGACUACUAAAAGAAAUAAAAA
rnacentral:lncRNA from 1 species